CUUGCAUGAGCUGUUUCGGAUAUUUCGUCUUCUGGCCUGGCUUAUUUCGUUUCGGCGCUGCUGAGACCUCCUUUCGCGGAAUAUUACUCAAUGACAGUGUGCGAAGAACGCGAGUUCACCUUCUUGACGAAAAUCGUGGACUAACAGUUUGAAGUCAUUGAACUACUUCCAAAAGUUGUAUCGACAUCAACAGGAUUACGAUUUCAGUGCAAUAUGAUGCUGGAUGAUCUUAUCACGAUAACCCAUGAUUAUAAACCAUUAUAAACACAGAAUCAACAAAAACAUCUGCGACACGCACCUGGCGCAUGGCUA